CCGUUACGGGGGAAGCGGAUUGCAUUAUUCUAGUUUUAACGUGUUCAACCUUUUAGGUGCAUUGACGUUAAAACUUAUCUGCUGUGGAUUUUUGAUAAUUGAAAAUGAAUUAUUAAAGAUUGAGGGCUCCACUUUGUGUGAGGACAGCGGAUUGACGAUGCGAUACGACCCGUCUUGAAACACGGACCAAGGAGUCUAGCGCGGGUGCGAGUCGGAAGGUGUAAAAACCUGUGGGCGAAGUGAAAGCGAGAUAAAACUCUCAGUUUGAGGCGGCAUAUUUUCGUUGAAAAUAGGUCCGACCUUGAGCAGUUGCGCUGGGACCCGAAAGAUGGUGAACUAUGCCGGAGUAGGGCAAAGCCAGAGGAAACUCUGGUGGAGGCUCGUAGCGGUGCUGACGUGCAAAUCGCUCGUCGAACUUGGGUAUAGGGGCGAAAGACUAAUCGAACCAUCUAGUAGCUGGUUUCCUCCGAAGUUUCUCUCAGGAUAGCGGGCCGACAUAGUGUUGUUUUGUGCGGUAAAGCGAAUGAUUAGCGUAUUUGGGGACAUUUUGUCUUCAGACGAUUCUCAAACUUUCAAUGCGCAAGGGUGUUGCUGCUUAAUUGAGCUUCACCGGUAAAAACGUCGGCCCUGUGGGCCACUUUUGGUAAGCAGAACUGGCGAUACGGGAUGAACCGUAAGCAUGGUUAAGGCGCCAAACUACUCGCUUAUAGAUCCCACAAAAGGUGUUGAUUCAUCGAGACAGCAGGACGGUGGCCAUG
rnacentral:rRNA from 1 species